rnacentral:rRNA from 1 species
UACGGGGGGGGCAAGCGUUGUUCGGAAUUACUGGGCGUAAAGGGCUCGUAGGCGGCCAACUAAGUCGGACGUGAAAUCCCCAGGCUUAACUUGGGAACUGCGUCCGAUACUGGAUGGCUUGAAUCCGGGAGAGGGAUGCGGAAUUCCAGGUGUAGCGGUGAAAUGCGUAGAUAUCUGGAGGAACACCGGUGGCGAAGGCGG